AAGUAUGAAGCAAUAAUUGCAAUUAGUUUCGACCUAAUAAAUAGGUAUUUUAUUACCCUUACUUU
rnacentral:tRNA from 1 species